rnacentral:rRNA from 1 species
GAGCGGUAGCACAGAGAGCUUGCUCUCGGGUGACGAGCGGCGGACGGGUGAGUAAUGUCUGGGAAACUGCCUGAUGGAGGGGGAUAACUACUGGAAACGGUAGCUAAUACCGCAUAACGUCGCAAGACCAAAGAGGGGGACCUUCGGGCCUCUUGCCAUCAGAUGUGCCCAGAUGGGAUUAGCUAGUAGGUGGGGUAAUGGCUCACCUAGGCGACGAUCCCUAGCUGGUCUGAGAGGAUGACCAGCCACACUGGAACUGAGACACGGCCCAGACUCCUACGGGAGGCAGCAGUGGGGAAUAUUGGACAAUGGGGGGAACCCUGAUCCAGCCAUGCCGCGUGUGUGAAGAAGGCCUUAUGGUUGUAAAGCACUUUAAGCGAGGAGGAGGCUCUCUUGGUUAAUACCCAAGAUGAGUGGACGUUACUCGCAGAAUAAGCACCGGCUAACUCUGUGCCAGCAGCCGCGGUAAUACAGAGGGUGCGAGCGUUAAUCGGAUUUACUGGGCGUAAAGCGUGCGUAGGCGGCUUUUUAAGUCGGAUGUGAAAUCCCCGAGCUUAACUUGGGAAUUGCAUUCGAUACUGGGAAGCUAGAGUAUGGGAGAGGAUGGUAGAAUUCCAGGUGUAGCGGUGAAAUGCGUAGAGAUCUGGAGGAAUACCGAUGGCGAAGGCAGCCAUCUGGCCUAAUACUGACGCUGAGGUACGAAAGCAUGGGGAGCAAACAGGAUUAGAUACCCUGGUAGUCCAUGCCGUAAACGAUGUCUACUAGCCGUUGGGGCCUUUGAGGCUUUAGUGGCGCAGCUAACGCGAUAAGUAGACCGCCUGGGGAGUACGGUCGCAAGACUAAAACUCAAAUGAAUUGACGGGGGCCCGCACAAGCGGUGGAGCAUGUGGUUUAAUUCGAUGCAACGCGAAGAACCUUACCUGGUCUUGACAUAGUAAGAACUUUCCAGAGAUGGAUUGGUGCCUUCGGGAACUUACAUACAGGUGCUGCAUGGCUGUCGUCAGCUCGUGUCGUGAGAUGUU